CCUACGGGUGGCAGCAGUGAGGAAUAUUGGUCAAUGGGCGGAAGCCUGAACCAGCCAAGUCGCGUGAGGGAUUAAGGCCCUGCUGGUCGUCAACCUCUUUUGCCGGGGAGCAGAGGUCCGGACGUGUCCGGGCCGGGAGAGUACCCGGCGAAAAAGCAUCGGCUAACUCCGUGCCAGCCGCCGCGGUAAUACGGAGGAUGCGAGCGUUAUCCGGUUUUCUUGGGUUUAAAGGGUGCGUAGGCGGGCAUUUAAGCCGGCGGUCAAAUGUCGGUGCUCAACCCCGGCCUGCCGUCGGAACUGGGUGCCUUGAGUGGGCGAGAAGUAUGCGGAAUGCGUGGUGUAGCGGUGAAAUGCAUAGAUAUCACGCAGAACCCCGAUUGCGAAGGCAGCAUACCGGCGCCCUACUGACGCUGAGGCACGAAAGUGCGGGUAUCGAACAGGAUUAGAGACCCGAGUAGUC
rnacentral:rRNA from 1 species